UUCCUGUGAUGAUUUCCAUGCUAAUACUGAGGCAGCAAGGAGCCUUUUAGGUUCUACGCUGGCCCUAUGUGAGUGUAACCUUCUCUACUGAGGAGA